UACGUAGGGGGCUAGCGUUGUCCGGAUUUAUUGGGCGUAAAGAGCGUGUAGGCGGCCAGGUAGGUCUGCUGUGAAAACUCGAGGCUCAACCUCGAGACGUCGGCGGAAACCAUCUGGCUAGAGUCCGGAAGAGGAGAGUGGAAUUCCUGGUGUAGCGGUGAAAUGCGCAGAUAUCAGGAAGAACACCCGUGGCGGAAGGCGGCUCUCUGGGCCAUUACUGACGCUGAGGAGCGAAAGCGUGGGGAGCGAACAGG
rnacentral:rRNA from 1 species